rnacentral:tRNA from 2 species
CGGGAUGUAGCGCAGCCUGGUAGCGCGUUCGCCUGGGGGGCGAUAGGUCGCUGGUUCGAAUCCAGUCAUCCCGACCA